rfam:Picea glauca, whole genome shotgun sequence.
UUAUGUACACGCCUAUAACAUUAAUUCACUGGAUCCCAUUAGAACUUCGUAAUUAAGCGCGCUCGGGCUAGAGUAGUACUAGGAUGGGUGACCUACCGAUAAGUCCUAGUGUUUUACAUACC